UCAAAGCAGAUCGGUCACGUGUACCGGAC
rnacentral:sRNA from 1 species